rnacentral:rRNA from 1 species
AUGGUUUCCAUUGUCGUCGCGUGGCCUCCUCGGCGCCUGGGAGGAUGUCGAGGAGCUUCCUUGUUGCCGACUCCUUCGCCUACGUGCCUUGAAUCAAGCAGCACCACACCGUACACUCGGCAUCGAGUCGGUUCCCCGCUACUGCUGCUGCCUCCCGUCGACGAGCUCGAUGCAUCCGGCUACCCCCGUGCUAGCUCCCCGACCUCGUCCACGAGCAUCGCAUUUCUCUCCCCAUGCGCGCUAGCGGACUCCUGUGCAAGUGAUGUCGCGCCCCGUGCCGCCGCUGCUGCUCGCUACGCUUGUCGCUGUUGCAGCUGCUUCCACUCCUACCACUUCACCUUGCUCCGCCGCGCCGUGCCCGCCUGCCCGCGCCGUGGCCUUGGUCAGACGAGCCGCUGGCCGCCUCCUUUUCUCCUCGCCGCGGUGCCCUUCCACAGCCCCGCCUUGUUGCCGCUCACCCCGCCCCGCUUCACUGCAGCCACCUGCGCCGGCCGCCCAAGCCCCGCGCUCCUUGCUCGCUGGCCUCGCCCACAACCAACCCAGCCCAGCGAACAGCCUCCAUCGUUACCUUAUUUUCUCCUCUGCCUCCCGCGAACCCUCGCCGCCGCCACCAACGCCGGGCGAUUCCGGCUACUUCCGGCGGCCCUCGCCGGAGCGCAUCACACCAACGAGCUCUCCUCUCGACGGUUCUUCCUUCCCUCUAGCAAAAUUCGCUCCUCGCGGCAGCAAGCGCUCGCGCGCGACCCCUCCCUGCGGCUAGGGUUUCGGCUGCGUCCAACUCCAGCGCGGACGAACAUCAGGUUUGCUAACCAUUUGAUGUCUUUUGUGCAUUGCAGCUACCGAAGCACUAGAACUGCUCUCUUUGAUGGCAUUGAAGAAGGUGGAAUACGAGCACCAGCUUAUUCUUCACAUGAGAUAGAUGAACAUGAGAAUGAGCGAGCUAUGGAUCGAUUGUAG